GUUUACCAGCCCAGGAGAUGAGUAAAACCUCAAGUUUGAGGAAGGGCAGAUACAUCCUAUUGUGACUGGGGCCUAGCACACCCCAAUCGUAGGCCACCUCAUGGCUUGCAAGAGGGAUUUGAGACGUAUAAAAGGUGUGCAGUGUUAGAGCAUCUCAAAAGCCUCAGCAUCUCCACGUUCCAGCCACUGGUGAAAUCAGUGCACAUCCAGACCAGAAUGUAUCAUCCAAAGCAGAAGCUGUGCUGCCCGCUACCAAAGGAUUGCUGCCCUCCAUCCCAGCAAUGCUGCACCCCACCCAAGUAUUGCUGCCCCGCACCAAAGGAUUGCUGUCCCCCACCUCAGCAGUACUGUCCCCCUCCGCGGCAAUGCUGCCCCCCAGUAAAGUACUGUUUCCCCCCACCAAAACACUGCUAAACUCCACCUCAGCACAGCAAGCAGCCUUACCAACCUCCACCCAAGGCCAAGGAGCCCUCUGUCCCAACGUGCCCAGCCCCUCAGCAGUGCCAGAAGUCCAAGCAGAAGUAAACCCCAGGCAUGGGCCAGAGGCCAAGCUCCCUGCAGAACAGAGAACAUGAAGCCCACUCCCCUCUCUCAGCCAGCUAGCUGUCAGCACCGCUCACCCCCGGCUUCUGGAAGCAGCCACACUUGUGGAAAAGGCAACACCAAGAUGGCAGCUUCCUGGAUCAACAUUUCUUAUGAAUUAGAAGCUGCAAUUUCCGUUUAGAAAGGAUCCGGUUCUAAACCUUCUAAUCUUCGUUGCUGACUUGUAUACUUCGCCCUUUUGGCUGCUUGGAAAUAUAAGCAGCAUGCCCGACCACCCUUUCUUAGCACACUUGGUCUCUGCUCCAGUUUUUCAAACAAUUAAACACAAUUCCGCUGCCA